UUUGUUUAUGCAACAUAGAAUAAUAUAUAUCUUUGUUUAAUCCAUGUCAAUAUCUAUUUUCUUUUUUAUGUUGUUUGAAUAAGCCAUUUAAAUAACAUAAAAACUAAAAAAAAAUAAAAACCCUGGCAAUAACCUAC
rnacentral:misc_RNA from 1 species